CAGUCGCCGCGGUAACACGGAGGGAGCUAGCGUUGUUCGGAAUUACUGGGCGUAAAGCGCGCGUAGGCGGUUAUUUAAGUCAGGGGUGAAAGCCCGGUGCUCAACACCGGAACAGCCCUUGAGACUGGAUAACUUGAAUCCAGGAGAGGUGAGUGGAAUUCCGAGUGUAGAGGUGAAAUUCGUAGAUAUUCGGAAGAACACCAGUGGCGAAGGCGGCUCACUGGACUGGUAUUGACGCUGAGGUGCGAAAGCGUGGGGAGCAAACAGGAUUAGAUACCCGUGUAGUCCCUGUCUCUUAUAU
rnacentral:rRNA from 1 species